ACGCCCGGGGAUCCGCGACACUCGCCGCACACCCGCCCCCGUCCACCCUGUGCUCCUAUUGGGCCCUGGAACAAGGGAAGCUCUCCCAGGCGUCGGGUUUUCUGCUUGUUUUGUUCUCGCCUCGAGUCUCUGGUCGGUUGGGCAGUGAGUCCAAAACUACUUACCUGGAAGACCUUCCACCACCCCCUGAGUGUGAAUUGGCCCCGUCCAAGUUAGAAGAGGAAGUGGAUGAUGUCUUUCUCAUUCGAGCUCAAGGACUGCCCUGGUCAUGCACUAUGGAAGAUGUGCUUAACUUUUUUUCAGGGUGAAGCAAGAAGCAUUUCAUUUGCACAUCUUUCUUGGACUUGGGAUAUACAGUUCCAGUUUAUUAGCAGCAACUGCUAGGGAAAUGAUUUUGGUGUUUUGGGUUAAUUGCUUCU
rnacentral:sRNA from 1 species